GGAAAAAAAUAUGACAUCAGAUUUGACCUAAUUUGGUACUCCCCUGUUAUCCAUUGCUGAAUACAAACAGCGGCUAGGGUUGUCUCUGUUGUUUCAUUCCAAAGUUUUCUUCUUUUCUGCCAAAUCCUUUCACACUGAGCCCCCUUUCCCUGAUGCUCACAAUCUUCUCCACGCUACUUCUAUUUUCCUUUAUAAGCAGAUGGAGAUCAAGGGAAUUAGCCCUGAAUUUUUCAUUCUUGAAGCGUCACUUAUCAUGAAAGGUGAGUGCUUUCUUAACCUAAUUCAGAUUCAGAUAAAUCACGUUGGAUUUUUGUAUGAGUUGAAGAAAGCGUUCAAUUUCAUGACAAGUGAUUUCACAAGAAUAUUUUGUCAACAAAGCCUGAUGUGGUAAUGUAUAGCACAAUUAUUCACACUUUAUUCAAAGGUAGAGUUGCAGACGAUGGUUAUGGUUUGUAUUCUGAAAUUAUUGUCAAUGGAAUUUUUCAUAAUCUUUUGAUCUAUAACAGUGUAGUUUAUGGUUUUUUCAUUGCUGAUAAUUUGCUAGAAGCUAUUGGUUUUGUAAAUGAAAUGAUAUUGAACCGUCUCGAACAGAGAAGGUGGAUAGCCGGAAUGUGAUCGAUCCGGCUUCAGAAGAACCUUAAUCAAAAUAAAGGUUAAUCUUAAGUUGAGGAAAGGGGAAAAAAAGGUACCGAUGGUCGGAGUAUUAUUUUGACAGGUACCGCUGACAGUAACGUUUAAUGGACUAAUUAAAGAGUGGAUGAGGUCAUGAAUCUUUCAGAAAGUAUGGAGUUCCUGAGAUAGUGACUUAUACUUCUCUUGUCGAUGGUUUAUGCAAAUGUGAAAGAAUCUCUUGUGUUUGGAUCUUACUGAUGAGAUUGAAAUCAAAAACCAAAUAGCUUAUCUGUAUUGUAGUAAUGAUUUUGAUGUAUUGCUGUGGAUUUACAUCUAUUACCAUAGCACUUGUAGUAGGGUGAAAGACAAGAUCGCAUUAAUUUACAGUAACCAAAAUAAUGUUAUUCUUCCUGUCUCUCCAUAA